rnacentral:rRNA from 1 species
GACGAACGCUGGCGGCGUGCUUAACACAUGCAAGUCGAACGGAAAGGCCCUGCUUGCGGGGUACUCUCGUGGCGAACGGGUGUGUAAAACACGUGUGUACUGCCCUCCACUUUGUGGUAAGCUUUGAGAACUCGGGCUAAUACCGGAUAGAAACCCUCCUUCGUGUUGUGGUUGGAAAGUUUUCUCGGUCUGGGAUGAGAUCGCGGCCUAUCAGCUUGUUGGUGGGGUAAUGGGCUACCUAGGCGGCGGAGGGUGGCCAGCCUGGGGGGGUGUACGGCCAAAAUGGGGCUGGGAUAAGGCCCAGACCCCCACGGGGGGCAGGAGGGGGGAAAAUUGCACAAUGGGCGCGAGCCCGAUGGAGCGACGCCGGGGGGGGGAAGAACGGCUUCGGGGUGGAAACUCCCUUCGCUAGGUACGAAGCUGUUUGUGACGGUAACUAGAUAAGAAGCACCGGCUAACUACGUG